rnacentral:rRNA from 1 species
GAUGAACGCUAGCGGCAGGCUUAAUACAUGCAAGUCGAGGGGCAGCAUGAAUGUAGCAAUACAUUUGAUGGCGACCGGCAAACGGGUGCGGAACACGUACACAACCUUCCUAUAAGUGGGGAAUAGCCCAGAGAAAUUUGGAUUAAUACCCCGUAACAUAAUGAUGUGGCAUCACAUUAUUAUUAUAGCUACGGCGCUUAUUGAUGGGUGUGCGGCUGAUUAGAUAGUUGGCGGGGUAACGGCCCACCAAGUCUACGAUCAGUAGCUGAUGUGAGAGAAUGAUCAGCCACACGGGCACUGAGACACGGGCCCGACUCCUACGGGAGGCAGCAGUAAGGAAUAUUGGUCAAUGGACGCAAGUCUGAACCAGCCAUGCCGCGUGAAGGAUUAAGGUCCUCUGGAUUGUAAACUUCUUUUAUCUGGGACGAAAAAAGGCUAUUCUUAGUCACUUGACGGUACCAGAUGAAUAAGCACCGGCUAACUCCGUGCCAGCCGCCGCCGUAACAC